rnacentral:lncRNA from 1 species
CAUCAAACACGACUGAAUUCCACCGAAAAGCUCCUUCAUGGGUCUCUGUGUUUGUCUGCAAACGGCGGUACAUCAGCGACCCUCUGAAUCUGGUUCCGUUCAUUCUCGACGUUUUCUAUAGAUUGCCAGGAAACUAAGUGAGUGUGAAUGACGCCAGAAAAAACGGCCGUCCCGUUUUCAUGGCUGCCUGCGGACACGUCGACUGCCAUGCAAUCACCGUGAUGUGCUACAGGAGUUUUUUGAGGUGCUGGAAUUUCGGUGUGUUGGAAUGAGGACGCCGCGUAGCUCUGUGAAUCACUCCUUUACUGCAGAUGCGAGUGUACAUCGGCAGUGUUUUCGUCGAAUUGCCACGGCUGUGACCCGCUCGCACCCCGUGGGGGGAAACUUGAAGCGUAUUGCAGUGUUGUGAGUUCUUCCCCGAGCUGAUCUUCCGGAGGAAAUUUGAUUCUGAGUCCUCAGUGCAGAUGAGGGGACACAUGACUCUCCUGAGCAUAUUCUCGUAACUAGCGACACAUUUUUUGUGUGUGCUUGCACAGUUGUACGCUUUACUGAGCCCUCGAGCCGUUUCGUUUCUGCCCGCUCUUCCUCGCUUUUCUGUACUUUCUAAGAAUGCAGCGACGAUCAACUAAGAAUCGCGGAUUUUCCGCAGCAGUCGGAGACGAAGGCAGGACUGGAGUUUCUGAGGCGAGUUCACCGCCGCUGAUCAUGAGAGAAAGAGUCGGUCUUAUGCAAAUGGAAGUGGCGUACGAACCAGGAAUGUUUCGCUGUCUAGGCAUCCCCGUGAAAGCCACUCAUGUCAUGGCUUUCCUCCUCUUCGCAGUCGUUAUGUUGUGGAUUGUGAACACAAGACUCGCUGGCACCCGAAUUGAGUGAACAAACCGGUGUGAGUCAACUGUUUCACUUGCUCAUAAAAGAAAACCACAGGGGGUCCAGAG